rnacentral:rRNA from 1 species
AGUGAACGCUGGCGGUAGGCCUAACACAUGCAAGUCGAACGGCAGCACAGUAAGAGCUUGCCCUUACGGGUGGCGAGUGGCGGACGGGUGAGGAAUACAUCGGAAUCUACUUUUUCGUGGGGGAUAACGGAGGGAAACUUACGCUAAUACCGCAUACGACCUACGGGUGAAAGCAGGGGAUCUUCGGACCUUGCGCGAUUGAUUGAGCCGAUGUCGGAUUAGAUAGUUGGCGGGGUAAAGGCCCACCAAGGCGACGAUCCGUAGCUGGUCUGAGAGGAUGAUCAGCCACACUGGAACUGAGACACGGUCCAGACUCCUACGGGAGGCAGCAGUGGGGAAUCUUGGACAAUGGGCGCAAGCCUGAUCCAGCCAUACCGCGUGGGUGAAGAAGGCCUUCGGGUUGUAAAGCCCUUUUGUUGGGAAAGAAAAGCAGCAGGUUAAUACCCCGCUGUUCCGACGGUACCCAAAGAAUAAGCACCGGCUAACUUCGUG